AUUGAACGCUGGCGGCAUGCUUUACACAUGCAAGUCGAACGGCAGCGCGGGCUUCGGCCUGGCGGCGAGUGGCGAACGGGUGAGUAAUACAUCGGAACGUGCCCAGUAGUGGGGGAUAGCUCGGCGAAAGCCGGAUUAAUACCGCAUACGACCUGAGGGUGAAAGCGGGGGAUCUUCGGACCUCGCGCUAUUGGAGCGGCCGAUGGCAGAUUAGCUAGUUGGUGGGGUAAAGGCCUACCAAGGCGACGAUCUGUAGCUGGUCUGAGAGGACGACCAGCCACACUGGGACUGAGACACGGCCCAGACUCCUACGGGAGGCAGCAGUGGGGAAUUUUGGACAAUGGGCGAAAGCCUGAUCCAGCAAUGCCGCGUGUGUGAUGAAGGCCUUCGGGUUGUAAAGCACUUUCGGCGGGAACGAAAAGGACUGUGCCAAUACCACGGUUCGAUGACGGUACCCGCAGAAUAAGCACCGGCUAACUACGUG
rnacentral:rRNA from 1 species